UGGGGAAUAUUGCACAAUGGGCGCAAGCCUGAUGCAGCCAUGCCGCGUGUAUGAAAAAGGCCUUCGGGUUGUAAAGUACUUUCAGCGAGGAGGAAGGCGGUAAGGUUAAUAACCUUAUCGAUUGACGUUACUCGCAGAAGAAGCACCGGCUAACUCCGUGCCAGCAGCCGCGGUAAUACGGAGGGUGCAAGCGUUAAUCGGAAUUACUGGGCGUAAAGCGCACGCAGGCGGUCUGUCAAGUCGGAUGUGAAAUCCCCGGGCUCAACCUGGGAACUGCAUUCGAAACUGGCAGGCUAGAGUCUUGUAGAGGGGGGUAGAAUUCCAGGUGUAGCGGUGAAAUGCGUAGAGAUCUGGAGGAAUACCGGUGGCGAAGGCGGCCCCCUGGACAAAGACUGACGCUCAGGUGCGAAAGCGUGGGGAGCAAACA
rnacentral:rRNA from 1 species